UGGUUGUCGUCAGCUGUGUCGUGAGAUUGGUUGGGUUAAGUCCCGCAACGAGCGCAACCCUCGCCUCUAGUUGCCAGCAUUCGGUUGGGCACUCUAGAGGGACUGCCGGCGACAAGUCGGAGAAGUGGGGAUGACGUCAAAUCAUCAUGCCCCUUAUGACCUGGGCUACACACGUGCUACAAUGGGCGGUACAAAGGGCUGCGAACCCGCGAGGGGGAGCGAAUCCCAAAAAGCCGCUCUCAGUUCGGAUUGCAGGCUGCAACUCGCCUGCAUGAAGCCGGAAUCGCUAGUAAUCGCGGAUCAGCAUGCCGCGGUGAAUACGUUCCCGGGCCUU
rnacentral:rRNA from 1 species